rnacentral:rRNA from 1 species
CCUACGGGAGGCAGCAGUGAGGAAUAUUGGUCAAUGGACGAGAGUCUGAACCAGCCAAGUAGCGUGAAGGAUGACUGCCCUAUGGGUUGUAAACUUCUUUUAUAUGGGAAUAAAACGUUCCACGUGUGGGAUUUUGUAUGUACCAUAUGAAUAAGGAUCGGCUAACUCCGUGCCAGCAGCCGCGGUAAUACGGAGGAUCCGAGCGUUAUCCGGAUUUAUUGGGUUUAAAGGGAGCGUAGGUGGAUUGUUAAGUCAGUUGUGAAAGUUUGCGGCUCAACCGUAAAAUUGCAGUUGAAACUGGCAGUCUUGAGUACAGCAGAGGUGGGCGGAAUUCGUGGUGUAGCGGUGAAAUGCUUAGAUAUCACGAAGAACUCCGAUUGCGAAGGCAGUUCACUGGACUGCAACUGACACUGAGGCUCGAAAGUGUGGGUAUCAAACAGGAUUAGAUACCCUUGUAGUC